rnacentral:lncRNA from 1 species
CAACUUUGCUAUCUUAGAACGGAUCACCAGUGAAAGAGGGGAAGUUGCUACUGUGAUGAAUUCUGCCAUGUGGUACCAGACUGCUGCCCAGACCACAGUGUCCUCUGCAACCCUGGUCAAAGGUGCCUACAUGUUCCUUCUAGCUUUGUUUCCCUGAUGUUCCUUGCCACCUGCUACUCCUCUCUGAGCUACUUUUCCAGCUUCUCAGAUGACCAAGAUGGUGCUGCCGAUGGUGUUGAGGACGGAGAACCCACCAAGCCCCGUUAGGAGCCACCUAGACUGGAUGCAGAGCACAGUGAGCUCCCUGCAGGUUCUCUGAGAAGGGGUGGAUGGCAGCCUGCUCCUUGCCUUUGUGGCCUCCAGACCCCAAAGUCAGGGAACCAAAGGGAGAAAGGGGCCGUAGCUAGGGCAGAGCUCCACUGCAAUGAUUGUUUCAGGGGUAGGAGCCAGGAUUGCUGUCUGUGGACACUGAAAUUUGAAUCUCAUAUAGUUUUCAUGUGUCACAAAACUUUAUUCUUCUUUUGUUCUUCUCCUACCAUCUAAAAAUGUAGAAAACAUUCUUAGCUAUGAGUUGCACAAAAACAGGCAGUGGCCAGAUUUGGUCCAUAGACCAUAGUUUGCUGACUUCUGCCCUAAAUCAUCCUCCAUUUCUUUCCUUCUGUGCCCUUGUUACUGAC